rnacentral:lncRNA from 1 species
UUUGUUCCCAAGCGCCGCCGACUGUCUCCCUGCUGCCGAGUGUCUCCCCGCCGCUGCCUGUCUCCCCGUCGCCGGUUACGUCGUCGCCUGUCGCCGUGAUCUCCACUUCGAUCUCCACUUCGUUGAUUGAAGGUUUGUUAUUUAUUUUCUUUUGUUUUUUUAUGGUUUUUUGUUUAUGUUCAACUGUUCUUGUUUUAAAUGCUAAAAAAAUCUAUUAUGUAGUAGUUAAUUACCUGUUUUAGAUAGUACACUAGAGAAAUAAAAGUUAAAUAGAGUAACAAAUAACAAUAGAUAAUUAGACAUUACAUAGGUAAAUAGAGCAGAAUACAAAAAAUAAGUAGUUCCUAUCUACAAAACGACGAUGGACUUAUAUUGCCUUCUCUACAACAGCCCAUGCGAGUCUGUCGAUGUAAGUGAACUCGUGUAUGCCCCCUCGAUUUCAAUCAUCCACUCACUAUUGUAGUUCAGUUCUUUACGGCAUAUGUCAAUCCAUGGGAUAAAAUAUCAUCGAAGCAUCAUUUUCUAGAACUCUUUGCUUUUCAGUUCUUUCAUGAAGCUUCAUAUUGUAUUUACAAACACUAGGUCAUUCAGUCAUCUCACUAGUCACCUUAAACCUAUUUCAUUUCCUUGUAUGGAUCUAUGAAAGAAUUUAUCAAUUCAAAUGAAGAGGGUUUCUACUUUUGAGAUACAGACUCAAAGGAGCUCCAAUUGCACUCGCAUUUAGAGAUAGACUCACACAAUUUUCAGCUCGGGUGUUGAAGUACCAAUGUAAUCCCACCAAGUUUCCGCAAAAAAUAAUCAAUUAAAUCUUUCAAAAAAAAAAUACAGAGUCUGAAUUCACAAGUCACAACCAUUAUUUAAAAUUCAGACCUAGAACUACCGUCCCAACCCUUUAUGAUUAUUGUGUUGAUAAGAUUAUUGUGAUGAUGGGUUUGAUAUUGAUUAUUGUUAUGGGGUGAAUGGGUUUCGAUUAUUGAUUAUUUCAUUCUUGAUUAUUGAUUUAUGUUUUUUUUUUAUUAUUGAUUAUUGAUUUAUUUAUUAUGUUUAUGUUUAUGUUUAUUGAUUUAUGUUUAUGAUUAUGAUUAUUGAAUGGGUUGCUGUAAUGUUUAUAUAUAUAAUGAUCGAUUUUAUAUAUGGAUCGAUUUUUAUAUGUAAUGAUCGAUUAUGUAAUGUUUAUAUAUGGGUUGCUGUAAUCGACAGAGUCGCUCCUGCCGAAUCGUCGUCGCCUCCUCCCGUCUUCGUCGUCGUCUCCUCCCGUCGGUCGUCGCCUCCUCCCGUCUUCGUCGUCGUCUCCUCCCGUCGGUCACGUCUCCGUCGCCGGUCUCCACUUCCACACACCUCGGUAAUAUUUCCUACAUGUUCAAUGGUGGCAUUUCCUUCAAACAUAGUGUAAAUUCUUA